UUUUAUAUGUGAAAUUGAGAUGGACAAAUAUUGACCAUUAGAUCUUAAUAUAAAUUAUCAAAAUUAAAACACAAAAAAUCACAACUUCUUGAAAAAGUUGUGACUAUUAGUAACUUUUAAUCUUGAUUGUCCGUAUAUCCAAGAAGGGUAACAUGUGAGUGACGAGAGGAUCUGCUAGCCUUGAUCAUACAAUCAAAGUGGAUGGUCAAAAUUAGUUUUAAGUAAAACAAUCUUGACUAUCCAAUAUCCAUUCAUUCCAUUGAUGGUAAUAUGACUAAAAUUAACUUUUAUCACUUCUCACAUUCUUGUUAGAUAUGCCACACAUUAUGUGGCCACAAAAAAUCUAUGAUAUGCUAUCAAGCAGAGAUAAUGAUUGGCUGAUGUCCUGCUUUCUUCUCCUCUGUCAGUCCCCAACCUCCUUCCCUUCUAUGCAGGUCCAUAGCGAUUUUCCAAUCCCCAUUCCCCCUUACUUUGUUUCCUACAUUAUCUUCUAAUGCCCAAACCCCCCUAAACAUAGCCAAGUUCCCUAACCACACAAGAUAUUAAAUCCAUCAUAACCACAUUUCAAUCCAUAUUCUUGUGGCUAACCAGGGACCCCACUUUCAUCACAAGAUUUAUGCACAAAAAAUAUAUUUAUUUCACCUGCCAUCUAGAACCCCGAAUAUCUCAACAAAACCCCAGAGCAUUACAAGCAGCAAUUUGAAGGUUUGUGUUAACUUAUAGUUACAGAUACAAAACCCACAAUCAUUUUGUCACAACAGAUAAACUUCAAAUAAUAUACUCCUUUUUAAACUAUUGCUUUUGAUAGAUGUCGUUAAUCUUACGUCAUCAUGUCAUCACUUAAAUUAGUAUAGGUACCGAAAGUAAAAGUUUGAAUAUCUUAAGAAAUAAAAUAAAUUAAAAAAUAUUUUUUUAGGUAGUAAAUUGAAAAAUGAAUAUAUUACAAGUAUAAAAAACAUAAUUAAGCCUUGAACUUUUAUAGAAAUUCUCUCGUCAACUUAUCACAGACUGUAUUUUAACUACAAAUAUUUACAGUAAGUGCCUUGUUCAGUAAAAAGUAAAAGUAAAAGGCACCUCUUUGCAGGUUUUCUGGUGUGCAGCUAAGAGGUCAUUGUAUUUGAUUUGCAGAUCGGAGAAUUCGGCUUGCAACUUUUCAUAUUCUGAGAUGGAAGGACA
rnacentral:lncRNA from 1 species